rnacentral:rRNA from 1 species
GAUGAACGCUGGCGGCGUGCCUAACACAUGCAAGUCGAGCGGCAGCGCGGGGUGCUUGCACCCUGUCGGCGAGCGGCGGACGGCUGAGUAACGCGUGGGAACGUGCCCCAAAGUGAGGAAUAACUGCCCGAAGGGGUAGCUAAUACCGCAUAUUAUCUUCGGAUCAAAGGAUUUAUCCGCUUUGGGAGCGGCUCGCGUCGGAUUAGGUAGUUGGUGAGGUAAUGGCUCACCAAGCCGACGAUCCGUAGCUGGUCUGAGAGGAUGACCAGCCAGACUGGAACUGAGACACGGUCCAGACUCCUACGAGAGGCAGCAGUGAGGAAUCUUCCACAAUGAGCGAAAGCCUGAUGGAGCAACGCCGCGUGCAGGACGAAGGCCUUCGGGUUGUAAACUGCUUUUAAAAGUGAGGAAUAUGACGGUAACUUAUGAAUAAGGAUCGGCUAACUACGU